rfam:Ictidomys tridecemlineatus contig043672, whole genome shotgun sequence.
GGGAUUGUGGCUCAGUGGUAGAGCACUCGUCUAGCACGCAUGAGGCCCUGGGUUCAAUCCUCAGCACCA